GCCGUGCGUAAGAGGAGUCGCGCGCGCGCUCCCGCUGAACCUGAUGAACGAGCACACGGUCGGAUUUAAACGCGUUUGCUCUCGGUACAGACACAGAACCGGAACUUCCUCCGGCUGUUCUCCACGAUUUCAGAAGUGUUUUUGGUGGAUCAGAAGUGCUCAGGAGAUUUGAGACACUAACAGGUGUAUGACAUGAAGCCGGUCAGUGGGGUGUGUGGAGAGGCUCGGACCGUUUCAAACGACCCCUGACCUUUACUACCCGGCCCUGGAUGCUGGAAGCAUGGAUGUCCACGUGCACAGCGGCCGGACGCUCCACUGCUGUCCAGUGAGUAUUCACCGGCACCUGCAUCAUGAUGACCACAGCGGAGCCAAACCCUGCCUUCUUUAUGACUGAAACAUUACAAGCCACACAUUCACCAGCACUGAGUCACGCCGGAGUCUGUUUAAAGCGUGACGGGUGUGGUGUGUGUUUCGAGGAACACCAGUCUGUAGUAAAGACGAGAAUGCAGUCGAGCAGCAUCCACACAAAACCAGCAGGUUCUGAGUGACACGCGAUGAUAUCACUAUUAUUACAGCUCACACUUAGUGAUUAGUGAUUAGAACAAACCCUGAAGUGUCUGUCUGUCAUGAGGGAUGCCUGCUGCUUUAAGAGAUCAGACACAAUGAGGUCCGAUUUAUUGGUGAAGGUGAAAACAUGCCGCGGAGAACCUGAGCCGUGUUUAGAGAGCAGACGAUCACCAAAAACCUGAUUUAUGCAAGACAGAAAGAAACCACCUAGCAACCAUUUAGAAAAUCUUAGGAACCACAUUGCAAUCAAGGUCAUUAUAGUAAAAAAAAAAAAAAAACAACAAAAUACAUUUUAAAUAAUAUUUCAAUAACUAAAAUAACAUUUUAGGCAUUAAUAAAAAUAAAUAAAAAUU
ensembl:lncRNA